GGUGGCUCAGUGGUAGAGUGCUUGCCUUGCAAGCAUGAAGCCCUGGGUUCAAUUCCUCAGUACCA
rnacentral:tRNA from 1 species